rnacentral:rRNA from 1 species
CCUACGGGUGGCAGCAGUGGGGAAUAUUGCACAAUGGGGGAAAGCCUGAUGCAGCGACGCCGCGUGAGUGAUGAAGUAUUCCGGUAUGUAAAGCUCUAUCAGCAGGGGAGAUAAUGACGGUACCUGACUAAGAAGCACCGGCUAAAUACGUGCCAGCAGCCGCGGUAAAACGUAUGGAGCAAGCGUUAUCCGGAUAUACUGGGGGUAAAGGGAGCGCAGGCGGCAGGGCAAGUCUGAGGUGAAAGGCAGGGGCUCAACCCCGGGGCCGCAGUGGAAACUGGCAGGCUAGAGUGCAGGAGAGGUAAGGGGAAGUCCGGGUGUAGCGGUGAAAUGCGUAGAUAUCAGGAGGAACACCAGUGGCGAAGGCGGCUUACUGGACUGUAACUGACGUUGAGGCUCGAAAGCGUGGGGAGCAAACAGGAUUAGAUACCCGGGUAGUC